GUCGAGCGAACAGACGAGGAGCUUGCUCCUCUGACGUUAGCGGCGGACGGGUGAGUAACACGUGGAUAACCUACCUAUAAGACUGGGAUAACUUCGGGAAACCGGAGCUAAUACCGGAUAAUAUAUUGAACCGCAUGGUUCAAUAGUGAAAGACGGUUUUGCUGUCACUUAUAGAUGGAUCCGCGCCGCAUUAGCUAGUUGGUAAGGUAACGGCUUACCAAGGCAACGAUGCGUAGCCGACCUGAGAGGGUGAUCGGCCACACUGGAACUGAGACACGGUCCAGACUCCUACGGGAGGCAGCAGUAGGGAAUCUUCCGCAAUGGGCGAAAGCCUGACGGAGCAACGCCGCGUGAGUGAUGAAGGUCUUCGGAUCGUAAAACUCUGUUAUUAGGGAAGAACAAAUGUGUAAGUAACUAUGCACGUCUUGACGGUACCUAAUCAGAAAGCCACGGCUAACUACGUGCCAGCAGCCGCGGUAAUACGUAGGUGGCAAGCGUUAUCCGGAAUUAUUGGGCGUAAAGCGCGCGUAGGCGGUUUUUUAAGUCUGAUGUGAAAGCCCACGGCUCAACCGUGGAGGGUCAUUGGAAACUGGAAAACUUGAGUGCAGAAGAGGAAAGUGGAAUUCCAUGUGUAGCGGUGAAAUGCGCAGAGAUAUGGAGGAACACCAGUGGCGAAGGCGACUUUCUGGUCUGUAACUGACGCUGAUGUGCGAAAGCGUGGGGAUCAAACAGGAUUAGAUACCCUGGUAGUCCACGCCGUAAACGAUGAGUGCUAAGUGUUAGGGGGUUUCCGCUCCUUAGUGCUGCAGCUAACGCAUUAAGCACUCCGCCUGGGGAGUACGA
rnacentral:rRNA from 1 species